UCAGGAUAACAACCUGGAAACAGAUGCUAAUACCGGAUAACAACAGAUGAUGCCUAUCAACUGUUUAAAAGAUGGUUCUGCUAUCACUCUUUGGAUGGACCUGCGGUGCAUUAGCUAGUUGGUAGGGUAACGGCCUACCAAGGCGAUGAUGCAUAGCCGAGUUGAGAGACUGAUCGGCCACAUUGGGACUGAGACACGGCCCAAACUCCUACGGGAGGCAGCAGG
rnacentral:rRNA from 1 species